AGUGAACGCUGGCGGUAGGCCUAACACAUGCAAGUCGAACGGCAGCACAGUAAGAGCUUGCUCUUACGGGUGGCGAGUGGCGGCCGGGUGAGGAAUACAUCGGAAUCUACUUUUUCGUGGGGGAUAACGUAGGGAAACUUACGCUAAUACCGCAUACGACCUACGGGUGAAAGCAGGGGUUCUUCGGACCUUGCGCGAUUGAAUGAGCCGAUGUCGGAUUAGCUAGUUUGCGGGGUAAAGGCCCACCAAGGCGACGAUCCGUAGCUGGUCUGAGAGGAUGGUCAGCCACACUGGAACUGAGACACGGACCAGACUCCUACGGGAGGCAGCAGUGGGGAAUAUUGGACAAUGGGCGGAAGCCUGAUACAGCCAUACCGCGUGGGUGAAGAAGGCCUUCGGGUUGUAAAGCCCUUUUGUUGGGAAAGAAAAGCAGCAGGUUAAUACCCCGCUGUUCUGACGGUACCCAAAGAAUAAGCACCGGCUAACUUCGUG
rnacentral:rRNA from 1 species